AGCGAACGCUGGCGGCAGGCCUAACACAUGCAAGUCGAACGAACCCUUCGGGGUUAGUGGCGGACGGGUGAGUAACACGUGGGAACGUGCCUUUAGGUCCGGAAUAACUCAGGGACACUUGUGCUAAUACCGAAUGUGCCCUUCGGGGGAAAGAUUUAUCGCCUUUAGAGCGGCCCGCGUCUGAUUAGCUAGUUGGUGAGGUAAUGGCUCACCAAGGCUACGAUCAGUAGCUGGUCUGAGAGGAUGACCAGCCACAUUGGGACUGAGACACGGCCCAAACUCCUACGGGAGGCAGCAGUGGGGAAUCUUGCGCAAUGGGCGAAAGCCUGACGCAGCCAUGCCGCGUGGAUGAUGAAGGUCUUAGGAUUGUAAAAUCCUUUCACCGGUGAAGAUAAUGACUGUAGCCGGAGAAGAAGCCCCGGCUAACUUCGUGCCAGCCGCCGCCGUAAUAC
rnacentral:rRNA from 1 species